AUUGGAGGCUAUUUCUGAUCAUGAUAAUUUCCUGAGGUAUUAGUUUGUGCUGUUAUAUGAAUCGAAUAAUAUCCCUUGCUCAGAUUAAAAGCCUGGAGUUAAAAAAAUCAAGUGCCUUGAAC
ensembl:miRNA Mir7j microRNA 7j